AUGUUCUCAAUCAUAAUUCCUGUUCCAGGCACUUCAGGCCAGUUUUCUGUGACCCAGAAGGACCACUUUGCUUCUGUCAAGGAGGGAGAACCUGUCCAAUUCAACUGCUCUUAUGAAGGAACUGAAUAUAGCUUGCAGUGGUACAAGCAGCAGUUGGGCAGGCAGCCCCAGUUAAUACACUUGAUGGUUCAGACUGGAAUUGAGAUUCACGACCGCUUCAAAAUCAGCUUGGACCAAAAGAAGAAAACCACCUCCUUGUACCUGAUGAACACCGGGCUGAAUGAUUCUGCUGUCUAUUUCUGUGCAACAUCCAAGCACACGGGAUCAAAGCAAAUGGUUUUUGGAAGGACUUCUGGGAGCAGGCAUUUGACUGUCUCUAUCCGGAUCCAGGUAUGCCUGUGA